rnacentral:rRNA from 1 species
UGAAUACGAGAUGCUACGGCGUCGAAGCAGUCUAUGUCAUACUUCCAAGAAAAGCUUGCACUGUCAUAAACAAAUAAUGCCUGUACCAUAACCGACACAGGUGGGUAGGUAGAGUAUACUAAGGGGCGCGAGAUAACUCUCUCUAAGGAACUCGGCAAAAUGACUCCGUAACUUCGGGAGAAGGAGUGCCUUAUUUAUAAGGUUGCAAUAACAAGAUCCAAGCAACUGUUUACCAAAAACACAGGUCUCCGCUAAGUCGUAAGACGAUGUAUGGGGGCUGACGCCUGCCCAGUGCCAGAAGGUUAAAGAAGUUGGUUAGCAUCCGCGAAGCUGAUAACUGAAGCCCUGGUGAACGGCGGCCGUAACGAUAACGGUCCUAAGGUAGCGAAAUUCCUUGUCGGGUAAGUUCCGACCCGCACGAAAGGCGUAAUGAUUUGGAUACUGUCUCGGAGAGGGGCUCGGUGAAAUAGACUUGUCUGUGAAGAUGCGGACUACCUGCACCAGGACAGAAAGACCCUAUGAAGCUUCACUGUAACCUGAAAUUGAAAUUGGACUUUACUUGCGCAGUAUAGGUGGGAGGCGUUGAGAAUAUUCUUGCGGGAUUAUUGGAGCCAUCAGUGAGAUACCACUCUUGUAAUGUUAGAUUUCUAACUUUGUAUCAUUAUCUGGUCAAAGAACAGUUUCAGGCGGGCAGUUUGACUGGGGCGGUCGCCUCCUAAACGGUAACGGAGGCGCACAAAGGUUUCCUCUGAACGGGUAGAAAUCGUAUCUAGAGUGUAAAGGCAUAAGGAAGCUUGACUGUGAGACCUACAAGUCGAGCAGGGACGAAAGUCGGUCUUAGUGAUCUGACGGUGCUGAGUGGAAAGGCCGUCACUCAACGGAUAAAAGUUACUCUAGGAUAACAGGCUGAUCUCCCCCAAGAGUUCACAUCGACGGGGAGGUUUGGCACCUCGAUGUCGGCUCAUCGCAUCCUGGGGCGGUAGUACGUCCCAAGGGUUGAGCUGUUCGCCCAUGAAAGCGGUACGCGAGCUGGGUUCAGAACGUCGUGAGACAGUUCGGUCCAUAUCCGGUGUAGGCGUUAGAAUAUUGAGAGGAGCCUUCUUUAGUACGAGAGGACCGAGAAGGACAUACCUCUGGUGUACCAGUUAUCGUGCCAACGGUAAACGCUGGGUAGCUAUGUGUGGAGUGGAUAACCGCUGAAAGCAUCUAAGUGGGAAGCCCACCUCAAGAUAAGUAUUC